CAGGUCACAGUUUCAUCCAGAAAUCCAUUAAGGGGCACAGGGUGAGGAGAGGCUGAAUAAAUGUGACCCAUGCUUUCUGGAACUUAAGAGGCCUCUAACCGCCGAUUUAUAUUGAUUGUUGCUGCAAAGUGGAUGCUGCAUUAUCCCUCAACUUAUAUUCUUCCCUUCAGAUGAAAGAGGUUGUGUUUUUGUCACCAAUUUCCUUGAUUAUCUUAAACACCCAAAACAGAUUAUUUCACAGCUCCUAUAUCUAAAACAAUGUAGUUCAUCAUGCAUCUUUCCUCAAAAUUGGAAAACAUCAUUUAUGGAAGCUGUCAACAUCAGCACUGAACUAUCAAAGGUCUAAAAUUGCAACAACAUUUUGAUCCAAUAUUCCUGGAACCUGAGUAGGUCAUGAUCCAGGUAAAUAAAGGACAUCAAAAGCCAUGCCAACUCCUCAAGACAAAGAUAAUCCUUGAAGUUGGACAGAAUUGCUCCCGAAAGAGAAACCUCCUCAAGAUACCACCAUGGCACUUGUGAUUGCUGAAAGCCCUGAAGCUGAAAAGACAAAUCACUUGACAGUGUUAUGAACAGACUUUUGUCUCAACGUUUUUAAGCAAAGUGUACUUCUAUAUUUGAGGUGCACAUUUUUUAGAGAUCUUGUGAACUUAAUGCAAAUGCAAAUCUCUUUGUA